AGAUAUCUUUUCCAGGUAGUUCAGACACAAACCACGACAGCUUAUUGUAGAAUACUACCUACACUGGACCACCACGUUUGAGAUAUCUUUUUCAGGUAGUUCAGACACAAACCACGACAGUUUAUUGUAGAAUACUGCCUACACUGGACCACCACGUUUGAGAUAUCUUUUUCAGGUAGUUCAGACACAAACCACGACAGUUUAUUGUAGAAUACUGCCUACACUGGACCACCACGUUUGAGAUAUCUUUUUCAGGUAGUUCAGACACAAACCACGACAGUUUAUUGUAGAAUACUACCUACACUGAACCACCACGUUUGAGAUAGAGUAUCUUGCUGACAAGUUGUUAGAACAGCAUUGCCACAACUUGUUAACAAGGUUGCUACAAGCCUGUUGAGGAAAUAUCUUGUUGACAAGUUGUUGGAACAGUAUUGUCACAACUUGUUAAAAAGCUUGCUACAACCCUGUUGAGGAAAUAUUUUGUUGACAAGUUGUUGGAACAGCAUUGUCACAACUUGUUAACAAGCUUGCUACAAGCCUGCUGAGGAAAUAUCUUGUUGACAAGUUGUUCGAACAGCAUUGUCACAACUUGUUAACAAGGUUGCUACAAGCCUGUUGAGGAAAUAUCUUGUUGACAAGUUGUUGGAACAGUAUUGUCACAACUUGUUAAAAAGCUUGCUACAACCCUGUUGAGGAAAUAUUUUGUUGACAAGUUGUUGGAACAGCAUUGUCACAACUUGUUAACAAGCUUGCUACAAGCCUGCUGAGGAAAUAUCUUGUUGACAAGUUGUUCGAACAGCAUUGUCACAACUUGUUAACAAGGUUGCUACAAGCCUGUUGAGGAAAUAUCUUGUUGACAAGUUGUUGGAACAGUAUUGUCACAACUUGUUAAAAAGCUUGCUACAAGCCUGUUGAGGAAAUAUUUUGUUGACAAGUUGUUGGAACAGCAUUGUCGCAACUUGUUAACAAGCUUGCUACAAGCCUGCUGAGGAAAUAUCUUGUUGACAACUUGUUGGAACAGCAUUGUCACAACUUGUUAACAAGCUUGCUACAAACCUGUUGAGAAAAUACCUUGUUGACAAGUUGUUGGAACAGCAUUGUCACAACUUGUUAACAAGCUUGCUACAAGCCUGCUGAGGAAAUAUCUUGUUGACAAGUUGUUCGAACAGCAUUGUCACAACUUGUUAACAAGCUUGCUACAAGCCUGUUGAGGAAAUAUCUUGCUGACAAGUUGUUGGAACAG